GACGAACGCUGGCGGCGUGCUUAACACAUGCAAGUCGAACGAAGUGGCGAACGGGUUAGUAAUACGUGGGUAACCUGCCCUCCUUUUUGGGAUAAGCCUUGGAAACGGGGUCUAAUACCGAAUAAAGGGGGAUGGGCUCGCGGCCUAUCAGCUUGUUGGGGGGGUGAUGGCGUACCAAGGCGGUGACGGGUAGCGGGCAUGAGAGGGUAAACUGCAACGUUGGUACGGAGCAACGGCCCAGAGUACGACGCGAGGGAGCAGUUGGGGAUAUUGCAGAAAGGGCGAAAGCCUGAUGCAGCGACGCCGCGUGAGGGAUGAGGGCUUUCAGGUUGUAAACCUCUUUAGCUAUCGGACGGGUAGGUGGAGAAGAAGCGCCGGCUAACUACGUGCCAGCAGCCGCGGUAAUAC
rnacentral:rRNA from 1 species